rnacentral:rRNA from 1 species
AGAGUUUGAUCCUGGCUCAGGAUGAACGCUAGCGGCAGGCCUAAUACAUGCAAGUCGAACGGUAACAUGAGUAGCAAUACUUGAUGACGAGUGGCGCACGGGUGCGUAACGCGUAUGCAAUCUACCUUUAACUGGUGAAUAGCCCGAAGAAAUUCGGAUUAAUACACCAUAGUAUAAUUUGACAGCAUUGUUAGGUUAUU